CACGUAGGGUGCGAGCGUUGUCCGGAAUUAUUGGGCGUAAAGAGCUCGUAGGCGGUGUGUCGCGUCGGCCGUGAAAACCUGCAGCUUAACUGUGGGCUUGCGGUCGAUACGGGCAUCACUGGAGUUCGGCAGGGGAGACUGGAAUUCCUGGUGUAGCGGUGAAAUGCGCAGAUAUCAGGAGGAACACCGGUGGCGAAGGCGGGUCUCUGGGCCGAUACUGACGCUGGAGGGAGCGAAAGCCGUGGGGAGCGAACAGG
rnacentral:rRNA from 1 species